rfam:Ictidomys tridecemlineatus contig083810, whole genome shotgun sequence.
GGGGAUUUAGCUCAGUUGGUAGAGUGCUUGCCUCUAAUGCACAAGGCCCUGUGUUCAAUUCCCAGUAUCAACA